UCCAAAUGACUCUCGGCAACGGAUAUCUCGGCUCUUGCAUCGAUGAAGAACGUAGCGAAAUGCGAUACUUGGUGUGAAUUGCAGAAUCCCGUGAACCAUCGAGUCUUUGAACGCAAGUUGCGCCCGAAGCCAUUUGGCCGAGGGCACGCCUGCCUGGGUGUCACUAA
rnacentral:rRNA from 1 species